UUAUGACAGGAAAUAACCACAAAACAUGCAUUUGCUGGCAUCAGGCAAGUAUUGCUAGCUUGGUAAUCAUCAUGCUCAUUGUAAUGUAUAGCCAUAAUGUUGCCCAUACAAUCCAUGUCAGCUGUGUUGCAGGAAAUAAUAGUCCUUUAUAAAAAAAAAAUGAAAUUGAUUUUUCUCAGUUUUCUGCUUGUUUACUGUACCAUGAGAGAGGUAAAGGGCAAAGUUUCGGAAAUAGAAUCAGCCCUGUCUUUUUCUGCUCAGUGCGUGAAAAUAGUAUUGAUUAAUGGCCAUUGCCCCUUUUUCCACGCAGAAUGAUGUAAAGACCCUGUCGGUUACCAUCACCUUCUCGGGGAAUGUGUUCCAUCAAUCCCACGGCCAGAACAGGAAAAGAUGGCCCUUCAACAGAGAAGCCUCACCAAUGUAUGUCAUCAUCACUGCAGCCGUCUUCUAAUGAUGACCCUUGGCAUGCUGUGGCACCUGGGACCUCCCCUAGCAUGAGGGAGGCUGAUGAAAAUUAGCCCAUUCACAUUUCAAACAGAAUUUGGCCUGGCCCCUGAUCACAGUGCGGGGGCCCCCCUAACAGUCCUGCAGAGAAAACACGCACCAGCAGAAAGGAUCUCCACCCGGCCAGAGCCUCUCCCCUGGCGAUCAUUGCGGGAACACAUGGUGACAUGACUGUGGGAUGUGAGGGGUCUGGAUGUACUCCGGCUGUUAUUCCCUGUUAAAAGAUUUAAACCAUCGGGGUAUGAUAGGUCCCUUUGAUGUUUGCUAAGCAUAGAGCUAUGGAACAAGGGAGCAGGGAGAAAGGAGAAAAGGGGGGAGAGGUGGGAUGAGGUAUAGUGGUGAUGGUAGCGGUGAUGCGGGGCAGAGGCUUGUUACUAGAAGGCAAUCAUCUUUGUGGAGCCUCAGCCGAGGAGGGGAGGAGAUGCGUUGAACCUCUGUUUCAACGCAGCCACGCCAACAAAGGGAAGAUAAAAGACAGAGGUUGAAGCCGGGGCCAAGACCCGCUGUGGAGCCGAGAUUACUGCCAGCACAAAGUUUGGGCUCUUCUACCACUCCAACAACUUUUACCUUCCUAAUUGCCCCAAUUUGGCUCUUAUUUCUAGAGGUGGGGAAAGUGUAAUAGUCAUAGAGAGAUUAUGUUUCAUCCUAAAGGAAUAUAUAUAUAAUAUAGCAUGCUGAUUUCCUGUAUACUAAUGGCAAAAACAUUGUACUAUAAAGAUUGGAAUAUAGCACACACUGUAGAGUUAGUGGUUGUACUUUGUUAAUAGUGGAACUCGGACAACCACCGAGUACCCCGAGCUAAAAAUCCAACAUGGCUGCUCUGUGCAUCAACAGUUGUGAAAGCUGAAGUAACAUACAGUUAUAAACACUUCUGUCUCAUUUGUGUCUCACUAAAUUCAUGUCAUACAGACAGUGCUGUCCAUCUUUUAACUGUGGACAUGUUGUUAAUCUGUUUGUAUGCACAAAAACAGCGCAAUGCGAUGUUAUAAACUGGUAUUGGCUAACCUGGCUAGAGCUAAUAAAAACAAUAAAAAUACGAAUUGUAAUGGAACGCAUUCAACUGGGUGUGACGUCAUUCCCAGCUUCAGUUCCGAAAUAAAACAAGCAGUGAAAAA